rnacentral:rRNA from 1 species
AUUGAACGCUGGCGGCAUGCCUUACACAUGCAAGUCGAACGGUAACAGGUCUUCGGAUGCUGACGAGUGGCGAACGGGUGAGUAAUACAUCGGAACGUGCCUAGUAGUGGGGGAUAACUACUCGAAAGAGUGGCUAAUACCGCAUGAGAUCUACGGAUGAAAGCAGGGGAUCGCAAGACCUUGUGCUACUAGAGCGGCCGAUGGCAGAUUAGGUAGUUGGUGGGAUAAAAGCUUACCAAGCCGACGAUCUGUAGCUGGUAUGAGAGGACGAUCAGCAACACUGGGACUGGGAAACGGCCCAGACUCCUACGGGAGGCAGCAGUGGGGAAUUUUGGACAAUGGGCGCAAGCCUGAUCCAGCAAUGCCGCGUGCAGGAUGAAGGCCUUCGGGUUGUAAACUGCUUUUGUACGGAACGAAAAGCCCCGGGUUAAUACCCUGGGGUCAUGACGGUACCGUAAGAAUAAGCACCGGCUAACUACGUGCCAGCAGCCGCCGUAA